AUUGAACGCUGGCGGCAUGCCUAACACAUGCAAGUCGAACGAGUGGCGGACGGGUGAGUAAUGUCUGGGAAACUGCCUGAUGGAGGGGGAUAACUACUGGAAACGGUAGCUAAUACCGCAUACCAUCAGAUGUGCCCAUAUGGGAUUAGCUCGUUGGUGGGGUAACGGCUCACCAAGGCGACGAUCCCUAGCUGGUCUGAGAGGAUGACCAGCAACACGGGAAAUGAGACACGGUCCAGACUCCUACGGGAGGCAGCAGUGGGGAAUUUUGCACAAUGGGGGAAAGCCUGAUGCAGCCAUACCGCGUGUAUGACGAAGGCCUUCGGGUUGUAAAGUACUUUCAGCAGAGAGGCGGGACCCGCAGAAGAAGCACCGGCUAACUACGUGCCAGCAGCCGCGGUAAUUC
rnacentral:rRNA from 1 species